rnacentral:rRNA from 1 species
GCCUGGCCCUAAAUCUUGAUGCUUACCCCUACUAAAGCAUCCGCCCGAGAACUACGAGCACCAACGCUUAAAACUCUAAGGACUUGGCGGUGCCCCAAACCCACCUAGAGGAGCCUGUUCUGUAAUCGAUGAUCCACGAUAUACCUGACCAUUCCUUGCCAAAACAGCCUACAUACCGCCGUCGCCAGCUCACCUCCCCUGAAGGCCUAACAGUGAGCGCAAUAGCCCAACCACGCUAAUAAGACAGGUCAAGGUAUAGCCUAUGGAAUGGAAGUAAUGGGCUACAUUUUCUAAAUUAGAACAAACGGCAAAAAGACAUGAAACUGUCUCUGGAAGGCGGAUUUAGCAGUAAAGUCGGACAAUCGAGCCCUCUUUAAGCCGGCCCUGGGGCACGU